UACGUAGGCGGUCAAGUAAGUCAGGUGUAAAAGGCAAUGGCUCAACCAUUGUAAGCACUUGAAACUGUUUGACUUGAGUACAGGAGAGGUAAGUGGAAUUCCUAGUGUAGCGGUGAAAUGCGUAGAUAUUAGGAGGAACACCAGUGGCGAAGGCGACUUACUGGACUGUGACUGACGCUGAGGUACGAAAGCGUGGGGAGCGAACA
rnacentral:rRNA from 1 species